UACGUAGGUGGCAAGCGUUGUCCGGAUUUACUGGGCGUAAAGAGCGCGCAGGCGGUCGUCCAAGUCGCGUGUGAAAGCCCCCGGCUCAACUGGGGAGGGUCACGCGAUACUGGUCGACUCGAAGGCAGGAGAGGGUAGUGGAAUUCCCGGUGUAGUGGUGAAAUGCGUAGAUAUCAGGAGGAACACCAGUGGCGAAGGCGACUACCUGGCCUGUUCUUGACGCUGAGGCGCGAAAGCUAGGGGAGCAAACGGG
rnacentral:rRNA from 1 species